rfam:Arthrospira platensis NIES-39 DNA, nearly complete genome.
ACGAGCCGUAUGAGGGAAAACUCUCACGUACGGUUCUGAAUGGGAGGGGACGAAGGCGACUCCAU